CCACCCUUGUCAGCUUGCAGGGAAGGGAGCAGAACCUGCAACCUGCAGUCACUAUCAUCCCACACCGGCUGCACUGAGAAUGUGGGCAGAGCUUGCUGAACACUUCUAGAGCUUGCUGAACUCAGACUAGUUUAUUGAAUCUGCAGGAAGCCUAAAUGCAUCUGGAGGGGAGACCCGCAGAGUAACUGGAAAUGAAAUGUAUUUCUCCUUGCAUCAGAGGUUGGGCUUACAUCAGCAGAGCCUGAUCUUAAUUUCCUCAUAAGAGCGUGAGAGAAGAGUGAAGACAUGUUAGUCCUACAGCAAGCGUGGCAGUCACAGUCCAACCAAGUGGGAUGGUGUUGGUCUUCCUGAAGUUUCAUUAGUAAACUGAGAAAGAAGUUCUGUGCCUACGCAUUCUGUACUGCUCCAGGUGGUUCUGUGCCUUUCAGACCUCUCUGAUUAGCUUUUGAGGAGCACAAUGCAAGAUAAGAAUCAAAAGCUGUGGGAGGAAUCCAAGCGAAGAGGUAUCACAUCAGCUUUUUAUCCAAAGGAGAAUGCUGACAAAAUGGGAGCUCUGCUCAAAAGGCACUUUUGUUCAUUGUUCCGUUCAAAACAGCUCCAUCCUGAUGGUAUUUUUCAUUCAUAAUAUCAGAGGUCUAAAUCACACCCUGAGACAUACGCUGCACUGAAACAAAUGUCAUGGGGAAGCCUUGUGCCAGGAGUGCUGAUGUGCUAGGAGUGUUGUGUGCAUUGGGGUGGAAAUAGACUUCAGAUACUUUGGCCCUGUGCUUCUGUCACCCACUGCUUGUCUUAGCUUGUUCUAGGAUGGAAAUAGGACGUUGGACAGCCAGAGGCUUGGAAGAGUACAAAUCUGUCUGUACUAAAAGUGCUUUCAACUCAUCAGUGACCACUGGUAAAUACCUAGGAGAAAGGCAGAUUUAAGGUGAGCUUUUUUAGCAUAUACCUAGCUGCCAGUAUGAGAUCUUCUGAGCCUGGAUCUGCCUGAUGUUUGAAGCCGGAGUUUACACCAUGGAUUAGUCUGAUCAGCCCACCAGGCAUGCCUUCUAGCUAGUCUGAGCUGGCAUCUCACAUGUUCAGUUUGCUCCUGGCACAGACAGGCUGAGAGCAAGGCUGGGGUGCAACUCAGCCUGUGUUAUUCUGUUUGUCCCUCCAUGCUUGCAAGAAUCACUGCUACCCACUCCACCAUGUGGUGCAGCAAUGAGGCUUCCUUGUGUGGUCAGAGCAGGCCUGGGAGACAGGAGCACACUCCUGCUUUGUUCUGUGGUAGCACGGGCACUCUGACAGGACUCAUCCUCUUCAUGUGCCUGUGGAAACACCAAAGAGCGUGGGCCAAGGGAUUUAUGAGUUGUCAUACAAAUAAAUCUGUGAUAAAAAAUUAAGUUAAAAACCUCAACAGUGGGGAGACAAAAGAACAAUCAAACAAAAAACUACCAAUGCUCCUGCCCAAGCAAAAUAAAUAUCGAAAUAAAAACCCAACACACAAAAGAAAACCAACCUACCAAUCAGUAAAAACCCCAAGCCAGCAGAAGAAAGAGAAGGCUGUGUUCUGUGAAACAGGGUUGAGUAGGGAUUGCCCAUGGAGAAACAGCAAGAACUACAUGCCAAGUGACAAUCAAAGAAUUUGCUUGGAGCAUCACCGCAUCACAAGAGAUGAGAGAAAGUUGUAGUGGAAACAGUCUGAAAGAAGUCCCAGAGAAGGCUAAGCAAUUUUUUUCUGCUGACGUCUCAUACAGUACUGUGAGAAGAGCUAACUCUGCAGAAGUCUAUUUCAUACUGCCUAUUUUCUGUCCAUUAAUAAAAUUCCCUGUAGACUGCAAGGAUAAAUUUCAUGCAAAGGUCUACCUUGUGUCAUCUUUCUCAUAUUGACUGUUCUGCUAUGCCACUAUUGAAUUAGCCGUAAUGCGAUUAUUUUCUUCCAAAUUCUUCCUUGUAAAAAUUCUGCAAAAGCUUUGGAAAUUGUGUUUACAGAGUUGUCUACAAUAUGAAAAUUGGAAGGGUUUCUAAUGCCUGAUUUUUCUUAACAUAAACUAUAACAUCUUUUCUUUUGUUUUCCACUCAGAUAAUUUGCAGUGGAUAUGCGUACAUUACAAUGACAACAACUCUGUUAAUACGUUAUUCCAUCUGAGAACAAAAGAAACAAGGACAAAAAUCAGAAGUCUCUGAAGAAUUUAAGAAGAGGGCAAAUAACAAAUGCAUUGCAGAUUUUCUUUUAACGCUCCCAUCUGAUGCAUUCUCUUGAAGCAUAAAAAUGUUUUAAGAACAGUACGUGGGAAAAUUUUGAAUCUGAACCCUGAGAAGAGGAAAAAGAAGGCUCUCAGCCCAUAUCUCAGAAUUUGGUGAUAAGAAGACUAUGGGAGACUGUGUCAAAGGCAGUGUACAGUCAAAGUGUCACUGCCUUAUCCAUUGCACUGCUCAUCUUAGUUUGGAAAACAGCGAGAAGCAAUCUUGAGUGAAGUUCCUCCGAAGAACUGUCUAACAAAAGCACAACUUCUGGGGACUCUGACAGACGUGUCAGCCUCCAGGGGACUGGAAAUCUUCCUUGGAAACAGUCAGACUCCCUGUGCUGUUUGUACUGAUGGCAUAACCCGUGUCCACCAAACACCAGCAGGAUCACUCCUCCAAGAGUCUUUAUUUGUUCUUCCAGGUGACAUUUUCUGCCCUCCAUUUUGGUGAUGAAUGUUGUCACUUCAGUGCACUUACUGGUAGAAGUACAGUUACAGCAUCUUGACCACUAUCUUCUCUCAUUUUUGGCAUUUAGGUUCAGUUUUUCUUCUGCAGCUUUAUGUGCCAAUGAAAGACAAAUAUCCAGCCUCAUGAGGGCCUUUUCAUCUUCUGUCUAAGCAUCCUAACCAAGAAAAGCUAUUGCUUCUUUUCUCAUUUAGUUUCCUUCUGCGGGUCUCACAGAUGUCCCAGUGGUGACCUGCAACUGUUGUUCCAGACAAGCUAAAGACUAGGUUGUACGAGGCAGCAGGGGCACAUUACACACAAAUGUUUCAAUAGCUGAUGGCUAAUUGGAAGCGGUCAUAAUUUCAGUUAUGUACCUUUCAGGGAUGUCAAGGACUUGCAGCUCCCCGUAUGGUAGCCACAAAUCCUACAAAACAGGAUCAUUUUUAUUUGGCCACUGACUUUUAAGCACAUAGGUUCAUCUGGGGUCUUUCUAACUUGGUAUCUUGAUUUGAACAGACAUCAAACGUGUGCGAGAGAAAUAAUAUCUAGGGGAAGUGCGGGUGGAAUACACACAGGCCCUUGAACAGAGCUGUACCAUUGGAGCCUUCUGGUUAUCUGGAACUUAGAAACUUCAUGACACAACCCUUGCAUUUGCAUCAUUGUGCUUAAUUGUUUGGGUGAAUGAUGGAUUUUCCAUCCACAUCUCUUGAACUCACUUAAGACAGUGUCUCAAAGUGCUCCUGCUGCCUUCAUUAGUUUGCAACUGUUAAAAAGCCUGUAGCAUACCUGCUUUUUCAGGAAAGUCUUGGGACUUUUUUGCAGUACUGAAUGUUAGUGCCACUGAGCAGACAGGCUUGUUUAAACACCUGCAACUGAAAGAAAUCACAGUAGCUUGGCAAAAAUGAAUAUAAUAAUUUAACAGCAGACCUUGAUGCUCUGGGGAGCAUGGUGGCACACAAGAUCUCCUGGAAGUUUCACAAGAAUUAUUUGGGCCACAAAGUAUGAUGUUUUUAAACAAAUAAUUUGUUUGGUCAGGUAAAUAGUGACUCACCAAGUGGGGCCUACAUUACUGCAUUGUCGACUGCAAAAACAGAGCAUUUACUGGAGGGAUCAGCAGAUAAAAGCCGAGACCUUAGCAUAAUAUGAAAUCUUAUGACAUCAACACAAAGGGAGAUUUUAUGAGAAAAGCUUUGCAAAAAGAAAUUGAAUAUAUUCCUUGAAAUGAUCAAGGUUUUGUAGAAAGGAAGAAAAUGUUUAUAUUUCAGAGAUCUCCAGGGAAAAAAAAGUCUGUAAGCUGUUCAUGCAGUCAUAGAAACACAGAAUCACAGAAUAUCCCAGGUUGGAAGGAAUCCACAAGGAUCAUGGAAUCAUAGAAUAAUGGAAAGACAGAACCACGUAAUGGCUUGGGUUCGAAGGGACUUUAAAGAUUACCUGGUUCCAACCCCCCUGCUGUGGGCAGGCUCCCCUUCCACCACACUAGGCUUCCCAGGGCCCCAUCCAACCUGGCCUUGAGUGCCUCCAGGGAUGUGGCACCCACAGCUUCUCUGGGCAGCUUGUGCCAGGGCCUCAGUGCUCUUUGAGUUAAGAAUUUCCUCCUAACAUCUAACCUAAAUCUAGUUUAAAAUCGUUCUGCUUUGUCCACUAUCAGACCUUGUAAAAUGUUGGUGUCCACCUUAUUUAUAAGCUCCCUUUAAUUACUGGAAGGCUGCAAUGAGGUUUCCCUGGAGUCUUCUCCAUGCUGAAGAAGCCCAACUCCUUCAGCCUCUCUUCACAGGAGAGGUGCUCCAGCCCCCUGAGCAUCUUCAUGGUCCUCCUCUGGACCCGCUCCUACAGCUCCACAUCUUUCUUAUGCUGGGGCCCCUGACCCGAGCGGAAGACUACAGAUGGGGCCUCACGAGGGCAGAGCUGAGGGGGAUGAUCGCCUCCCUCUCCCUGCUGCCACCCCUCUGUUGAUGCAGCUCAGAAUACUGUUAGCUUUCUGGGCUGCAAGUGCACACUUCUGG